GCCUCCGUGGAUGAGCGAUAAAUCACCUCAGUUCAAUGAAUAUUCAAAGUGUAGGUUCUGAGGAGACGUGGGUUCGAGUCCCACUGGAGGUA